UGGUCUCUCUUGCUUCAGUUCAGAACAAUUUAGAAUGUCUUUUCCAGCUCUAGAGCUCCCUGAGAAGGUAAAUGAGGUCUUUGCUCCAUCUGUUUUGUAGCUCAAGCUUUCCUUCUACUCAGUCUGCUUCUCUUAUUCCCUGAGAGAACUACAAGAAACUACAGGCGUGUGAAUCUCUUGUUUUGAAGUCAGUUUCCUGGGGAAUCUAACAUAAGGCAUUUGGCUCCAGAAGUUGCUUGAAGAAGGCUUUUCUAAAAUCACACUACUGCUGGAUUGCCCACUGCUUGGCUGGAAGUGAGAAUCAUAUCACCUGUGCUAUACCAGUUUUUCUCAGUGCUGAAAAGUGAUAGGCUGCAAGUGGAAAUGAAUGCAGUGGCAAGUGAAACUUGUUGGGGAUUAGUCUUGAUACAGAUGGUGAAGGUGCGUGGCUAUUACUGAAGGCAAUCAAGCAUUGGAAAAAGUUCACGAAUGUCUGAGGAUGAUUAAUUACCAACUUAAGGCCAAAUGUAAAAACCAGAAGACUCUUGGAGCACACAAAUUGUCUUCCAUCUUCUUGCAACCCAGGCAGAAAUCAUUGAAUACCUAGAUCAGGACCUAAUUAAAAGGUAUGUAGAGAUGUGAAUUACCUUGAGAAUUCAAUGCUGCUCUGGCAAGGUUAGAACCAUUGUUCAGUAUGAAUGAUGCCCUGAUGGUGCAUCAACCCAGGUGUCUCUACCCCAAGAAGAUUGAAAAUGUUAAGUCCCCAUCUUCCCAUGAAUCCUCUGGGCCUAUAAAAGUAGUCCAUUAUUUCCCAAUUGAGCCUAAAUGCUCCUCCCUCUGCUGGAAAGGAUGUAGCACCCUCCAACUGGCGAGCCAACACAUAAGUCCUCCAAACCUCCACUCCUCUCCACUUCUGCCACCAGACAAGUGACUAAGGUCAGAAAAGGUAUUGUGUUUCCUCUUUGUGCUCUCUCACAUGACUUACUCUCAGGAGUGAGAAAAAGACACUCAGCAGCCUAGUGAAGAGGGCCAUGUGCCAACGAACCGAGGCCUUCUGCUAAGAGCACAUGGAUGAGUCAUCUUUGUGGUGGUUCUUCCAGCUCAAGAUAACAUGUUACCAGAAACCUUGUGAGAGACUGAGCCAGAACCACUCAGGGAGGAAAAAAGCCUGCAAAAAUCCAUUGGAUUGAUCUGUUUAUUCUUGGCUGUGCAAACUUACAUGAAAUAUUAUCAACAGGCAGCCAAAUCCCACAAAGCUAUUACCUUUCAGAAUGUGUCUCAGGUUGGUACUGCUCCAAGCAGCGUUUCUACAUGUCUAGUUACCAUUUGCAGUAACUUUUAUUCCAUUGUUUCAAUAAAAACAAAAUGAUCAUCCUUGUGAAUGUGUGUAAGAGAAAAGAGCAGCUUCAGAAACCUCAGCUGUAAACCUUCACCUGUAAUCCAGUUGAGCUUGACAAGGGGUCAUGUGCUGUAUCAGGAGGAAAAAUAGCAGUUGCACUUAAGAUGGUUUUGUUUGAGUCAAAUGAUCAGGGCUCUCCUGUUUUAUCUUAAAGUUGUAGAGACGGGUUAUGUUUCUGAUGAGGGUGGCCAAAUAAUGCACUGGUAACCCAAGCCUGUUUAUCCUCUGGCUAUGGAGUAUGUUACAUUAUACUUUACCUUUCAACCCUGGGGGAUGAUCUAAGUUCUAAGGUGCUAUGUGCUUCCCCGGAACUGAGGUCUAUCUUCCAGAUUAGCAUUGGAAACCUCCCCUUUAAAAUGGAUCUUCCAUCUGGUAUUCGGAGGAACUGUGUUUGUGGUAGGAUUCAGUGAGUUAACAUAGACACUCAUAUUUUCCUUUUGUGUUUUUUUUUUUUUCCAACUGCUUUAAUGCAUGGUAUCACCACUGUGGAGCUUAUUAUUUUUCUCUUCAGACUUGUUCUUAUUAUAGCCUGUGUUUUAUUUGGGGCACCAAUUUCCACUAGUUUUUUAAUCUACAAAAGUAGGAGUCAUUGAUUCUUCCCACUCACUGAGAGUUUCAACUCCUUAUUUCAUUUUCCUUCUCUGUCUCCAUACCUGCCAUUUGUUUCCAUUAACUUGUUCAAUAUAAAAUUUAUUAGAAGAGAAUUAAGUCUUUGAAAGAAAAGAGGGUUUCUAUAGCUAAGCUUGUUCUCAUAUAAACAGAAGGAAAAAAAGUAAAACGAGAAAGAAACCUCAAAUCUUCUCAAACAUUUGUCUAAUGAAUUACAACAUUAGAAAAAUGACAUCCUUUUCAAGGUUAUUAAAAAAGACUAUUUUAAAACAGUGAAUUAUAAUUCAGUACAUUUUUAAUCAUUUGAUUUAUAAUAUAUACUUUCCUCCUUCCCCCAAAUAAUCACUGUGUAUUGUAAUGACCAUAAUAGUUCAUACAUUUUAUGAAAUAUAUAUUAUAGGAAAUAAAGGAAAUUUCAAGUGAGAGAUCAGAACUAUUUUUUUUUUUUUAGAUUACAGGGAAGGAACUUAAUUUCACCUUUAAUCAUAAAAAUUAGUGGAUACAAUUAAAAGGUAAAUUAUAUUGAAUUUCCUGGUAGCAGACGGAUGAUAGAAGCAUAUCCUUUUUCAAAACAUAUUCAUAUAUCUUAUCACAAGUAAACAGAUAAGCUUCAGAGAUUUAAAAAAGACUCCUUUUAAAUAUUUUGUGACUGAGGAAUCCGAAACUUUUACUCGAGACAGCCUCUCUCUCCUUUGAUUCUGCCUUUUACCAUGUAGUUAAAUGACCUUCAAUUUAAGCUAUUGGUUCUUUCUAAAAUUAGUUAAGGAUGAUAACACUGACUAUGUUGAUAAAAUUUUUCCAGAGCUUAAGAAGCAUUUCAAGCAUUGAAUACUUGAAGAAAUCAUAUUAGCUUCCUUAGGAAAUGAAAGUGUCAUUAACUAAAUUAACAUGUUUGUUACCACAUCAUAAGAUAAUGGCAUGAAAUUGAUAGAUGAUUAUCAAGAGCUUAGUAUAAAUAUCUAUAAAAGUAACUGUCUUGAGCUGUGUAGAUACUCAAUUACAGUCUUUAUAUCUUUUUAAAUUCAGUACUUGAAAAAAGAAACCUAAAAUGAUUUUUGACUACAGUAGGGUAAAUUCACAUAAACAUCUCUAAUAGGGGAUGUGUGAUACAGGAGUUAUGAAAAAGGAAAUCAAAAUUCUAGCAAACGUAGGUGAAAAUUUUUGUCCUUUACUCUUCAAUUCCCAAAUUCCCUCUAAAGCCUGACUUGUGGUUUGCUUCAUGAAACUAUUGUGUUCCCUUAACAUUUAAAAUCUUAGAAAUUUCUUUUCUUUUGCACCGAGGCUUUGGGUAGCUUGGUACACACUUCUUUGAGGUUUAUUCUAUCAUUGACCCUGUGAUAAACAAAGAAAAACAUACCCAGUAGUUCUAUAAAGAUUAGGCACUUCCUAUCUGGGCUAGUACUUAGAACUGAGAUGACCUUGAAAAAAAUCACCUGGUCAUUCUAUGUAGAAACAAAAAUGUAUAUGCUGACUGGCCUCUUCUUUCAAUGCCCCCCAAAUAUCUGUAGACUGAUUCUUUAGAAUAAGGAGUAUUUAUUUCAUGCAGUUGAAUGGUACACAGAUACACAGGCUGCAAAAAAGCUUAGCUGGGCCAAAGUUCACAACAGUUUGAUGAAUAAAUAAGGGUCACAGAAGCUGGAAAUACAGCCAGUCUUACCAGGUUUCAUAUUUCUGCUGACUCAAGUCUAAGAAAAACAAAAGUUUAGGUGUCAGUAACCAAACACGGUGGGUUUUGUAUGUGUAUGUGUGUAAGUUAGCCAUAUUGUGAAAGAUAACUUUUAUUCAUGCAUUUAUUCAAAAAGAUCAAAGAUUAAAAUAUUUAUGAGAAAGAAAUAAUACUUUAGCUCAGUUCCACUUGGUGCCAUUCAAUUGAUUCAAACUCUGUGGUAGAUACAGAGAUAAGCAAGGGGCUAAAAAUGCCAUUGUGCAGUUGGAGGAAUUAGUACAUUUUACUUAAAUAUGUGUAGAGUAUGUAGUCAAAGGUGAUCACUAUUAUAACUAGUAAAAAGUGUUCUGAAAUACACAGAGACAGAAAUUAAUUCUGCUUAAGGAAAUCAAAUGCAUUGCCUAGACCCUAACAAGCGGGUAUAAUUUUCACAUGCUUUUAUCUAGGUCAUGGAUAUACUAUUAGCAGCAUCUCAAUGUUAUUGUUUUUAAUCCUUGCAUUUAGUUGAUAUUGGAGAGGAGAUGGGGGAAAUUCUGACAUAGCUCUUUCUCCUUACUUCUAAUGAAUAGCUUAACUUGGACCUUAAAAGUCCUCCUCAAUUUGAUUACACUAUGUUCUGUGUUACUCUCCUACUUAUGCAUGGGUCUCCUACUUAUACUCGUACUUAUAAAGAAGUCUUAUACUCCAGACCUUCUGAACUUUUUACAGAUGCCCUCAGACAGUUUUUUUUUUUUUCAUAUUUUCUCACCUUUGUACCUGCUACUUCCUCUGCCCAGAAGGCCCUUCUCUUACCUUUUGAAUAUAUACUGUUUCUUUAAAACUCAACAUGUAUAGAUGUAAAGCCUUUGGUGACCCCCAAAGGUAUUGAUAGUUGCCACUUGCUCUAAUCUUGCUGUAUCUUUAACCACUUUAUUGAUUUUUGGGGGGCCACUUAUUAUAUAUAUUCUGACUACUCCUUAGAUGGUGAACCUCUGUUCAUCCUCAUGGCAUCUAAUAGUUCCUAUGUGUGGUGCAUGAAGGAAUGAUGACCAACAUCCUCCCUUAAGUCUUUCCUCAAAUAAUUUUCUCAGUAAUGAUGCUACCAUCUUUGAAUUCCUGCUGGAUUUAUAGCCUUAGUAGAGUUCUGAAAAUUAGCCUUUCAAGUAAAUUCUAAAAAUUAACGAGCCUGUAUAUAAUAUUUGGAAAAUUUUUACUAGAUUUUUUUUUUACAAAUGCAUAAAUGUGUUUAUUCAACAAGUAUGUGUUGAGUGUUUUCUGUGUUCAAAGACCCGAACUAGGUAAUAGAGAUAACAGAAACAAGGUACUCAGAGAGCUCGGUCAAUAUUUAUAAAAUGAAAGUAUAGUAAAACAGUAAUGAGACACGAGGUGGAAUGGAAUAGACGUUGUCUUUGGAAUUCAGAGUGGAGAGAAGAGCACCACCAGCUUUUUAAAAAAGUUUUAAAAUUAUUGUUAUAAAACCUUUUUAAAAAACACAUAACAUAAAAUCUCUUUUGAGUUGUUUAAUUGUUCAGCACAGUAUUGUUUGCUAUAACCACAAUGUUGUAUAAAAGAUCGCUAGCGUUUUUUUCUUUUGCAUGGCUGAAACUUUAUAUCCCAUGAGCAAUUCUCUUUUUCCCCUCCCCAGAGCCCCUACAAUCACCUUCCUACCUUCUUCUGCUUGGAUGAGUUUGACUACUUUACAUACUUGUAUAAGCGGAUAAUCUGUUGUUUUGUGAAUGUCUUAUUUCACUUAGUGUAAUGUCCUUAUGGCUAAUUCAUCCGGUGGCACAUGACAAGAUUUCUUUCUUUUGUAUGUUGGAAUAAUACUACAUUUAUGUAUAUAUCACAUAUUCUUUAUCCAUUAGCCUGUCCACAGACACUUAGGUUGCUUCCACCUCUUGACUGUUGUGAUUAAUACUUGCAUAUGGGGGUACAGACACCUCUUUGAGAUCCUAAAUCAGUUAUUUUGGAUAAUUACACACAAGUGGGAUUGUUGAAUCAAGUGUAGUUCUAUUUUACUUUUCUAAGGAACCUCUAUACUAAUUUUCUGUAACAGUGUACCAUUUUACAGUCUAACAGUGCACAUCGGUGCCAAAACAUGGUAUGUUAUUUUAUACAUCUGUAUGUAUGUAUGUAUGUAUAGACCAUAUUAAGGUAUGUAGUUUGGAAGUUUGCCUUUCAUUCUGUUGAGUAUCUGCUGGGAAGAAACAUUUUAAUUUACUGUAGUCCCGUUUAUCUAUUUUUGCUUUUGCUACCUAUGCUUUUGGUAUCCUAUUCAAGAAAUCUUUGCCAAGACCAAUGUCAAUGUCUCAUGUUUUCUUCUAGGAAUUUUACAGUUUGAGGUUUCAUAUUUUAGUUUUUAAUCCAUUUUGAGUUGAUGUUUGUGUAUAGUAUAAGAUAGGGGUUUAUUUCACUACCUUGUAUUUGGACAUCCAGCUUUUCCAGCACAGUUUGUUUAAAAUACUGUACUUCCCCUAUUGUGUAUUCUUGACACUCUUAUUGAGGACGAGUUGAUAUAUAGGUGGGUUUAUUUCAGGGCUCUCUAUUUUGUUCUAUUGGUCUGGUAGGUCUGUUUUUAAGCCACUGACACAUAGUUUUGAUUAUGCAGUUUUGUAAUAUGUUUUGAAAUCAGGAAAUGUGAGGCCUCCAAAUUUGUUCUACUUCCUUUCAAGAUUGUUUUAGGUAUUCAGGAUCCUUAUGGUUUAAUAUGAAUUUUAAGAUUUCUUUUCUGUUUCUAUAGAAAAAUAUCACGGGGUUUUUGUUAGCUAUUGUGCUGAGUCUGUAGAUUGCUUUGGGUUGGGUAGGAUGGACAUCUUAACAAUUCCAUGAAUAUGGGAUAUAUUUCUCUUUAAUUUCUUUUAGUCAUGUUUUAUAGUUUUCAGUGAACAAGUAUUUCAUUGCUUUAGUUAAGUUUAUAUAAGAAUAAACUUUUAUUCUUUUUGAGGCUUUUGUAAAUGGGAUUAAUUUUUAAAUUUACUUUUCAAUUUUCUCUUAGCAUAUAGUUUUUUUUGUUUGUUUGUUUGUUUGUUUGAAGAGCUACACUCGUGGCAUAUGGAAGGUCCCAGGCUAGGGGUCGAAUCAGAGCUGUAGCCACUUGCCUAUAGCACAGCCACAGCAACGCCAGAUCUGAGCCAUGUCUGUGACCUACACUACAGCUCACAGCAACGUCAGAUCCUUAACCUACUGAGCAAGGCCAUGGAUCAAACCUGCAUCCAUACUAGUCACAUUCUUUUCCACUGAGCCACGACAGGAACUUCCAGAUUUUUUAAUUUUGAUUUUGUAUGCUGAAACCUCAUUUAACUCAUUUCUUGGUUCUAACAGUUUGUGUGGGUGUGUGUGUGCGUGUGUGGGGGGGUAUAGAAUCUUUAGGGUUUUCUACAUAUAAGAUCUGCAACCAGAAAUAAUUUUACUUCUUCCUUUCUCUUUGCAUGCUUUACAUUUCUUUUUCUUGUUUAAUUGCUGUGAUGAGAAUUUCCAAUACCAUGUUGAAUUGAAGUGGCAAAAACAUUCAUUUCCACUUUGUUCCUUAUCUUACAUGAAAAGCAUUUAUAUUUUGAAUGUGAUAGUUGUGAGCUUCACUUUCAUAUUCUUUAUUAUGUUGUUUUCAUUCUAUUCCUAAUACAAAUCCUAAUUGGUAAUGACUUUUGAUCCUUUUAGUGUGCUUUUCGGUUCAGUUUGCUAGUAUUUUCUUUCUUU